rnacentral:rRNA from 1 species
AUAGUUCCUUGAACCGCAUGGUUCAAGGAUGAAAGACGGUUUCGGCUGUCACUUACAGAUGGACCCGCGGCGCAUUAGCUAGUUGGUGGGGUAAUGGCUCACCAAGGCGACGAUGCGUAGCCGACCUGAGAGGGUGAUCGGCCACACUGGGACUGAGACACGGCCCAGACUCCUACGGGAGGCAGCAGUAGGGAAUCUUCCGCAAUGGACGAAAGUCUGACGGAGCAACGCCGCGUGAGUGAUGAAGGUUUUCGGAUCGUAAAGCUCUGUUGUUAGGGAAGAACAAGUGCAAGAGUAACUGCUCGCACCUUGACGGUACCUAACCAGAAAGCCACGGCUAACUACGUGCCAGCAGCCGCGGUAAUACGUAGGUGGCAAGCGUUGUCCGGAAUUAUUGGGCGUAAAGGGCUCGCAGGCGGUUUCUUAAGUCUGAUGUGAAAGCCCCCGGCUCAACCGGGGAGGGUCAUUGGAAACUGGGAAACUUGAGUGCAGAAGAGGAGAGUGGAAUUCCACGUGUAGCGGUGAAAUGCGUAGAGAUGUGGAGGAACACCAGUGGCGAAGGCGACUCUCUGGUCUGUAACUGACGCUGAGGAGCGAAAGCGUGGGGAGCGAACAGGAUUAGAUACCCUGGUAGUCCACGCCGUAAACGAUGAGUGCUAAGUGUUAGGGGGUUUCCGCCCCUUAGUGCUGCAGCUAACGCAUUAAGCACUCCGCCUGGGGAGUACGGUCGCAAGACUGAAACUCAAAGGAAUUGACGGGGGCCCGCACAAGCGGUGGAGCAUGUGGUUUAAUUCGAAGCAACGCGAAGAACCUUACCAGGUCUUGACAUCCUCUGACAACCCUAGAGAUAGGGCUUUCCCUUCGGGGACAGAGUGACAGGUGGUGCAUGGUUGUCGUCAGCUCGUGUCGUGAGAUGUUGGGUUAAGUCCCGCAACGAGCGCAACCCUUGAUCUUAGUUGCCAGCAUUCAGUUGGGCACUCUAAGGUGACUGCCGGUGACAAACCGGAGGAAGGUGGGGAUGACGUCAAAUCAUCAUGCCCCUUAUGACCUGGGCUACACACGUGCUACAAUGGACAGAACAAAGGGCUGCAAGACCGCAAGGUUUAGCCAAUCCCAUAAAUCUGUUCUCAGUUCGGAUCGCAGUCUGCAACUCGACUGCGUGAAGCUGGAAUCGCUAGUAAUCGCGGAU